rnacentral:lncRNA from 1 species
UUUAGUUUCUGUUGGCGUUAUUCCAUUUCGCGUUGAACUCGUUCGAGAACCCUUCAAGCGACCGGCACAAAACCCAGCUUGAACCCACUGCGACGGAGCCGAGGAUGAAGGGACAUCGGAUUACGGUGAGAUCUGCCGGUCUGUGCGCGACGCGUCGUCUUUUGUUCUAUCCUAAAACCAUUUCGGGUUUCGUUCGAUUCAGAAGUCAUCGAUUCGAUGUUGGCUUUCUUUUAAUUGCUACGUGAUAUUGUCUAUUAUAGCGGUGGAAACUUGAAUCUGUCUUAUUCUAGUUAGUCAGUUAUAUAUCUUGUGAAAAUGUUUGGAAUUCGAAAACCAGUUGAAAGUUUUUUGGAUUAAUUUGAAGUCUUUUGGAUGAUUUGGUAGAUGAUUUUUCAGUGCCAUUCGUCAAGAUCCUUUUUUUUUUAUGAUGCCAUUGAAAGAUUAUUUUGGAAUUUAUACUGAUGGUUCUCAGAAUUAAUUGAUGUAAGUUGUGAGAACUUUACGUAGGUAGAUAUUAGAUCAGCAUUAUGCAGUUGGAAAUUUAAAUUCAUUAUUUGUUGGGAAUCUAUAUGAGGAUUUUGAGUUCAAAAAAAAUAUUAGAUCAGCAUUCUAUGUUUGCAAGUGGUGCAAAUGUUCGGAACCUCCUCUAAUUCUAUCGAUUCUCUUCCUGCUAAAUGAUGACACUGAGGUCUGGCUUCUGGUAUUCCUUGUUUUGGCUGAAGCAUCAAGGAUUAGGGGUGAUACCAUUUAGAAGCUGAGCAUAAAAGGAAAGGUUCUCGCCAAUCUGGAAUCUGGAUGGGUCAAUUUACAUGGCCUUACUUUUGGAAGCAUAAAGGUUAUUAUUUGAUUGCUCAACUUUCACCUAGUUUGCAAAGGAGCAGUCUUACUAUGAUGCCAAGGUUCACCCUCUAUUUGCUGGAAGCCAAUUUUUGCCUUAAAUUAGGGAACUCAAAUGAAGGUGAAUACCAGAAGCCUAAUUCUUAGGAGGCUGGUCUGUCUUAGGAGGAGCUCUGUAUCAAAAUCUGAUUUGAACCUAAGUUUUAUGCCUUGCUAAUUCGACUUUAUUUGCUCACAUAAUUCAACAUUUUAUUUUUACCCAUAAUUGCCAGAUAUAUAGUUUGUCUCCUUGUUGCUUAACUUUCCUAAGAUAAUCUUGGUCUUUAUUCAUCUGCUUCUUUUUCAGAGUGCCCUUACAUUUGAAGGAUGUUUGGUUGGAACAGAGUUUUAUGGAGACUCAUAGUUGUUAGUUUCCUGUUGAGCUGCUGAGCUGAGACUCGUAGACUUGUCAUAAGAUUUGAAUAGGUUAUCACACAGCAAUAGUCCCUCAUGUAAUAGAUUCUCUAUUCCCAACAUUGUUCCACUUAAUUUAAUGGCAUGGAUACACUUCACGUCACACAAUAAAAUUUAAGCUCAGGAAAAGAAAUCGCAUCUCAUCUUAAUGUGCUCACAUACAAAUCUGGAGACCUGUUUCAGUUACCAAUUAAGCCAAAAUGAGACCAUAGUUGAAUCAAAGUUUCAGCAACAAAAUGGUAAAAAGAAAGGGUCAGCUGCUAAUCCCUGUUUAACAAAUCAUUAGAACGUAAAAUAGAUGUCACACCAAUUCCGCAUUAAAUUGAAAUAAGUCCUGCAUUAUCAUUUUGGUGAGAAACUUGUAUAUGAGAAGAGAAGUCAAGAAAUCCAUGGUAGGGGCCAUAGAAUCACUAGUCCAGCAUUCGCAUUCUCUGACAGUAGCCACUAACUUGAAAAACUCGAUCGAUCGACGACAACGUCAACGUUGUAGGGGAAUGCCAAAAUUAAGCAAUACCAAGUUUCAGCAUAGGCUAUAUAUAUUACAUCUCACAUCUAUCCCCACCCUUUCUAGUACCAAAUAGAUAAGAGGAGCUUUACAAGAACCACAAGUUACUAGAAACAAAAAGAGAGCACUUGUGACUCUGAGGUGGCUAUUAUGCUUUCUCCUACCAUACCAUGUCUUUCAGGUAUAUAACUAUCAUUGUUCUAAAGCGAAGUUAGUCACCUGGGAGGGGGUUCUGAUGCCUGACUAUUGUUUAAAGCAGGAUUGGAGGAGGACGGGAGAGCUCCAUUUUCCUGGGGAGGGGCUACACCCCAUUUUGAGUCUGGAUCAGAUGGCUCUACCACAUGAACUGCACCGUCAUUCAUCCCGAGUGCUAU